CCUUUCAGCUCCUUCCUGUGGCUUACACGGCCCUGCUUCAUCUGGCCUCUGCCCUGUGCCAAGUUCUCCUUGAGCCCUGGUCUCCCUCCCUCUCUACACUGAGCCCUUUCUGGAACUUGCAGUGCCGUCCUGCCUGAGGCCUUCUUGCCUGGAAUACAUUCCUUCCUCUCCACAGAGCAACCAUCUUCCUCAGC